UGGGGAAUUUUGGACAAUGGGGGAAACCCUGAUCCAGCCAUCCCGCGUGUGCGAUGAAGGCCUUCGGGUUGUAAAGCACUUUUGGCAGGAAAGAAACGUCAUGGGUUAAUACCCCGUGAAACUGACGGUACCUGCAGAAUAAGCACCGGCUAACUACGUGCCAGCAGCCGCGGUAAUACGUAGGGUGCAAGCGUUAAUCGGAAUUACUGGGCGUAAAGCGUGCGCAGGCGGUUCGAAAAGAAAGAUGUGAAAUCCCAGAGCUCAACUUUGGAACUGCAUUUUUAGCUACCGGGCUAGAGUGUGUCAGAGGGAGGUGGAAUUCCGCGUGUAGCAGUGAAAUGCGUAGAUAUGCGGAGGAACACCGAUGGCGAAGGCAGCCUCCUGGGAUAACACUGACGCUCAUGCACGAAAGCGUGGGGAGCAAACAGG
rnacentral:rRNA from 1 species